UGCUAGCGUCUGACACCAGAGAAAC
rnacentral:piRNA from 1 species